rnacentral:rRNA from 1 species
AUUGAACGCUGGCGGCAGGCCUAACACAUGCAAGUCGAGCGGCUGAAGGGAGCUUGCUCCUGGAUUCAGCGGCGGACGGGCGAGUAAUGCCUAGGAAUCUGCCUGGUAGCGGGGGAUAACGUCCGGAAACGGGCGCUAAUACCGCAUACGUCCUGAGGGAGAAAGUGGGGGAUCUUCGGACCUUACGCUAUCAGAUGAGCCUAGGUCGGAUUAGCUAGUUGGUGGGGUAAAGGCCUACCAAGGCGACGAUCCGUAACUGGUCUGAGAGGAUGAUCAGUCACACUGGAACUGAGACACGGUCCAGACUCCUACGGGAGGCAGCAGUGGGGAAUAUUGGACAAUGGGCGAAAGCCUGAUCCAGCCAUGCCGCGUGUGUGAAGAAGGUCUUCGGAUUGUAAAGCCCUUUAAGUUGGGAGGAAGGGCAGUAAGUUAAUACCUUGCUGUUUUGACGUUACCAACAGAAUAAGCACCGGCUAACUUCGUG